UACAGGGGGGGCAAGCGUUGUUCGGAAUUACUGGGCGUAAAGGGCUCGUAGGCGGCCAACUAAGUCACACGUGAAAUCCCCAGGCUUAACCUGGGAACUGCGUGUGAUACUGGAUGGCUUGAAUCCGGGAGAGGGAUGCGGAAUUCCAGGUGUAGCAGUGAAAUGCGUAGAUAUGUGGAGGAACACCGAUGGCGAAGGCAGCCCCCUGGGUCAAAACUGACGCUCAUGCACGAAAGCGUGGGGAGCAAACAGG
rnacentral:rRNA from 1 species